rnacentral:rRNA from 1 species
GGUCAAGCUACAAAGGGUCCAUGAAGAAUGACUUGGUAGACUUAGGCGAUGAAGGACGCGGUAAGCGGCGAUACGCUUCGGGGAGUCGCAAACAGGCUUUGAUCCGAAGAUCUCCCAAUGGGAAAACCCAUCUCGAGUAAUGUCGAGAUAUCUCGGCUUGAAAUUUAAAAUAGAGCCGAGAGGCAAUACGCAGCGAAGUGAAACAUCUAAGUAACUGCAGGAAAAGAAAACGAAUAUGAUUCCCCCAGUAGUGGCGAGCGAACAGGGAAGAGCCUAAACCCCGUCCUUUCGCAAGAAAGGGCGGGGGGUUGUGGGACCUCGACGUGGUAAAUCAAGGGAUAGCAGAAAUGCCUGGAAAGGCAUACCAAAGAGAGUGAAAGUCUCGUAUGCAAAAUCCUAAGAUUGCCUAGAGGUAUCCCGAGUAUUACGGGACACGUGAAACCCUGUAAGAAUCCAGCCCGACCAUGGGCAAAGGCUAAAUACUAAAGUCUGACCGAAAGUGUACAAGUACCGUGAGGGAAAGUUGAAAAGAACCCCGGUGAGGGGAGUGAAAUAGAACCUGAAAUUAUGGACCUACAAGCGGUCGAAGGCCUAUGAUCCGUCGCAAGGCGGAUAAUGGCUGACGGCGUACCUUUUGCAUAAUGGACCGACGAGUUAUUAUACGUAGCAAGCUUAACCCCGCCGUAACCGCGUCGGGGGAAGGCGUAGCGAAAGCAAGUCUUAAUAGGGCGUUUUUAAGUUGCGUAUAAUAGACCCGAAGCUGAGUGAUCUACCCAUGGCCAGAAAGAAGUCCGCCGAAAGGCGGAUGGAAGUUCGAACCCUUCAGUGUUGAAAAACUGCGGGAUGAGCUGUGGGUCGGAGUGAAAGGCUAAACAAACUCAGAAAUUGCUGGUUCUCCCCGAAAUAACUCUAGGGUUAGCCUUAGGUAAUUGAAUAACGGGGGUAGAGUGCUGAAUGGACUAGGAGCCUUACCAGGCUACCAAACCCAACCAAACUCCGAAUACCGUUAUUUUUAUCCUAGGAGUCAGUCGCUGAGGGAUAAGCUUCAGCGUCAAAAGGGAAACAGCCCAGACUAUCGGUUAAGGUCCCAGAGAACAGGCUAAGUGGUAAAGGAUGUGAAUUCACUUUGACAGCCAGGAUGUUGGCUCAGAGGCAGCCACCAUUUAAAGAGUGCGUAACAGCUCACUGGUCGAGUGAUUUCGCGCCGAAAAUGAUCGGGGCUCAAGCCUGUCACCGAAACCAUAGCUUUAUUUUGUCUUCGGAUAAGAUAAGGGGUAGGGGAGCGUACUGUCCUACAUUGAAGGCGUACCGUAAGGAGCGCUGGAGGAGACAGUAGUGAUAAUGUCGGUAUGAGUAGCGAAAAGACCCGCGAGAAACGGGUUCGCCGAAAAUCCAAGGUUUCCUGGGGAAGGUUAAUCCGCCCAGGGUUAGUCGAUCCUAAGUCGAGGCCGAAAGGCGUAGGCGAUGGACAGCUCGUUAAUAUUCGAGCACCGGCUAUGAAGCGUCAUUACCUUGAAGAUGACGCAGUAAGCUAGGUUGUGCGAAGUGUUGGAAGUCUUCGUCCAAACCUGUACCCCUGCCGAAAGGUGGGGCGAGGGGUGAUGGGGAGCCUGCGCUACGGCAAAGGCGAAGCAACUGAUGCUACACUGCCAAGAAAAGUCUUUGAGGAAGUUUCAUAGCUGUUCGUACCGUAAUCCGACACAGGUAGAUACCCAAAAUAUGGGAAGGCGCUCGAGAGAACUCUCGUUAAGGAACUCGGCAAAAUAGCCCCGUAACUUCGGAACAAGGGGUGUCCUAACUGGUGAAUUAAUUCAUUAGGAGCCAGGUAGGAUCACAGUAAAGUGACCCGGGUGACUGUUUAGUAAAAACACAUCUCUCUGCAAACUCGUAAGAGAACGUAUAGGGAGUGACACCUGCCCGGUGCUGGAAGGUUAAGGGGAGGAGUUAGCCCUGCCGCAAGGUAGAGGCAAAGCUUUGAACUGAAGCCCCAGUAAACGGCGGCCGUAACUAUAACGGUCCUAAGGUAGCGAAAUUCCUUGUGGGGUAAGUUCCCACGCGCACGAAUGGUGUAACAACUUGGGUGCUGUCUCAACGAGAGACUCGGUGAAAUUGUAGUGGCGGUGAAGAUGCCGUCUACCCGCAUCAAGACGAAAAGACCCCGGAACCUUUACUGUACCCUGGUAUUGGAUUUUGGUCCAAUCUAUGUAGGAUAGGUGGGAGGCGAUGAAGUCCUGGCGCUAGCUGGGACAGAGCCAACGGUGAAAUACCACCCUUAUUGUACUAUGAUUCUAAAUCAGACCUCUGAAUCGAGGCUGGUGACAGUGCCAGGCGGGCAGUUUGACUGGGGCGGUUUCCUCCUAAAAUAUAACGGCGGAGCCCAAAGGUUGGCUCAAGGCGGUCGGCAAUCGCCUGUAGAGUGUAAAGGCAUAAGCCAGCUUAACUGUGACACCGACAGGUGGAACAGAUACGAAAGUAGGGCUUAGUGAUCCGGUGGUACCUCGUGGGAGGGCCAUCGCUCAACGAACAAUAGGUACUCCGGGGAUAACAGGCUUAUCGGGCUCGAGAGUUCAUAUCGACAGCCCGGUUUGGCACCUCGAUGUCGGCUCAUCCUAUCCUGGGGCUGUAUAAGGUCCCAAGGGUCCGGCUGUUCGCCGGUUAAAAGGGUACGCGAGCUGGGUUUAGAACGUCGUGAGACAGU